rnacentral:rRNA from 1 species
CCUACGGGAGGCAGCAGUGGGGAAUUUUGGACAAUGGGCGAAAGCCUGAUCCAGCUAUGCCGCGUGUGGGAUGACGGUCCUCGGAUCGUAAACCUCUUUCAGCAGGGAAGAACGGUCACUGUGCUAUUCAUCAGUCAAUUGACGGUACCUGCAAAGUAAGCACCGGCUAACUCCGUGCCAGCAGCCGCGGUAAUACGUAGGGUGCGAGCGUUAAUCGGAAUUACUGGGCGUAAAGCGCUCGUAGGCGGUUUGGCAAGUCAAGUGUGAAAUCCCCGUGCUCAACGUGGGAACUGCCUUUGAGACUGGCAAACUGGAGUGUGUGAGAGGAUAGUGGAAGUCCAGGUGUAGGAGUGAAAUGCGUAGAUAUCUGGAGGAACAGCAGUGGCGAAGGCGACUAUCUGGCACAUAACUGACGCUGAGGAGCGAAAGCGUGGGGAGCAAACAGGAUUAGAUACCCCUGUAGUC